CUCAUCUUAUCCCCACGCCCACCGCUUCUGCUCAACUUUAUCCUCCGUCCCACCCCCACGUUCCUCCUCGGAGACGCCGCUUCGGCGGCCGGUUUCUAAGGAGGCAGAGGAGCUGCAGACGGCCGGGAAUGUAUGGAGCUGGGCGCCGGGUGAGAGGGAGAGCUCCAUCCGCAGCCAUGGCUAGGUCUUCAGACUGAACUUUAUUGAGCAGGAUGCAGGCGUUCCAGCGGCGUCUCAGCGGGGCGGCGCUGCGAGCGGGGCGAAGCCGAUCAGCCAGGAUAGGACAUCACUGGACGGUUCAGGAAAUCAGUUCGGCAAUCCACAUGGAAGGUCACCGACGCGAAUGAGCGUUGCCGCAGAGGAGGUCGUCGAGAAGUCCGUUCCGCCCGUUGCUGCUACUGAAGCGACCCUGAUGUGUAGAGCUUGCUUUGGAGGUCGUUGAUGGACUGUGGGGGUGGCGUCUCUCCUUCUUGAUCAUUAGUGCAUUUCUGUUGCUCAAGCGAGGUUGUGUUGUGCAACAGGCUGGUGAAGGCCUGCCGGAAACUAUGUUUCCCGUAUGAAUUAUUCAGCAGGUUAGUGUAAUAUGAGUACACGCGGUUGUUCCGCCAGCCAGCGUCCUGCCCGUUUUGGUUCUCUUGCUACGCAUGGACUGCAGGGUUUCUCCGAAAUCUCAAAGCUACCAAUGUGACAGUAAAGAAAACAAAAGAUGACAUACAUAUUGAGCAGAGACACACUCUUUGCAUGCUCAGAUUCAGACAAGUGAAUGCAAUAUUCUUUCUGUUAUAUUCGGAAAAUUGGCUUCAGCCUGCAUGUAUGAAAAAAGGGAAUAGGAUGGAAGCAAGAACUCAAUGUCCAAGCUUUGAUUUUGUCUUAGAAAUCCAUUGUCAUUAUCAGGAUCAACUGAUUUUCGCAAAAUGUUAUGAUUGGAUUCAGGGCUUCUGAUUGUAAUAAAAGAUGACAUCUUGAUAUCCACUCUCCAGUCUACGUAAUAAUACAUUGACUCCGCUUCGAAGAAAAUACAUUGGCUCCUCUUUGAAGAAAAUAUAAGAAAUCGAGCAAGGGGAGAUGAACUUUCUGUGUCGUCACUGGAUACUCUACAUGUCAUGUUCUUCGCGCAGUGUCAAUUCAAGCAGCUUCGACUGAUGUUGUCGAAGAGAGGGCAAGACAUAAUCAUGACCAAGUUUGUAGUACAACUGAUGUAAACAACAAAACCAUUGUAUAUGGUGUAAUGUAACAUGAUUGUCUUCCUUAAAAAAAUUGAUUUUAAGAUUUAA